GGGCGCGCCGGAGCCCGAGCCUGGGGCUGGCGCGAGGGCGCGGGGAGGUCCGGCCGGCGCGGACCGCGCAGCCUGGCUACUCUAGAUGCAAACUUCAUUGUUCAGAGUGGACCUGCAUAACCACACUGUCUUUCUUAAAGUGUCCUUGAAUGAGAGAAGCAGAGAGUUGAGGAACAGGAGGAGGAAGAAAAGAGGAAGAGGA